GACAGAGGGUGCAAACGUUGUUCGGAAUUACUGGGCGUAAAGCGCACGUAGGCGGCUUGGUAUGUCGGGUGUGAAAUCCCCGGGCUCAACCUGGGAACUGCAUCCGAAACUGCCUUGCUAGAGUAUGGGAGAGGGAAGUGGAAUUUCCGGUGUAGCGGUGAAAUGCGUAGAUAUCGGAAGGAACAUCAGUGGCGAAGGCGACUUCCUGGAGCAAUACUGACGCUCAGGUGCGAAAGCGUGGGGAGCAAACAGG
rnacentral:rRNA from 1 species